rnacentral:pre_miRNA from 1 species
AGUAGAAAUGCUGGAUCAUAUGGUAAUUCUAUGUUUUGUUUUUGGAGGAAUUGCCAUACUGUUUUCUAUAACAACUACACCAUUUUAUAUUCUUAACAAU